AAAGAUACAGAUUAGUAUACUCCAAGAACAAUAAUCCCAGAAACACAAAAGUUUCAUUUUUAGAAAUAAUAACUCAUAUCCUGUCACCAAAAGAACAGAAAAGAAAAGAAAGAACAGAAAAAAGGGGUUCAGCAUGAACGCCAUGAGUCUCGUGACGUAUUAGACAACCAAUGAAUCUAUGAUCCCCCCUCAAAAAUGACAGCUAUGUCCUGCAUCUGGUAUUGCCAAGUAAAAGUAGACCCUCUGGUCAAUCUUAUGACAGUUGAGAAAGUUCCUGAUUCUACAUAUGACAUGAUUGGUGGUCUUGACCAACAAAUCACAAGAUUAAAGAGGUGAUUGAGCUACCAAUAAAACAUCCAGAAUAGUUUGAGAGUCUUGGAAUUGCUCAACCAAAGGGUCAAUAACGAUAGAAUCAAGAAGUACCUGGACGUUUAAGAAAUUAUUUACCUGGGAAUUAGUGACAUAUACAUCUGCAGCGGAAUAAAGUGAAGCAACACGUGUUGUUGUUGGACUCCACAGGAUGGAUUUUGACAAGUUCGAAUGCUUUGACAAAAAUUCAAGUAUUUCUUUCACAUAUGUCACCUUGUUGC